rnacentral:rRNA from 1 species
CUCUACCAGUCUUUCGACUGUUACUGUGAGAAAAUUAGAGUGUUUCAAGCAGGCUAUUGCAGGAAUACAUUAGCAUGGAAUAACGAAUGUACCUACAAUUUGGUUAAUUGUAGAUUACUAUUAAUAGGGACAGUUGGGGGCAUUAGUAUUUAAUUGUCAGAGGUGAAAUUCUUGGAUUUGUUAAAGACUAACGUAUGCGAAAGCAUUUGCCAAGGAUGUUUUCAUUAAUCAAGAACGAAAGAGUAGGGGAUCAAAGACGAUCAGAUACCGUCGUAGUCCUAUCUAUAAACUAUGCCGACGUAGGGAUUGGAAUGAUCUGCAUCUAUUUCAGUACCUUAUGAGAAAUACAAAGUUCGUUUUGGGUUCUGGGGGG